CAGGAGGACCCUGGGAACACGGGGAAGCCAGGGGAAAGAGCUGGAUCCUAGUAGAUCCUUCUGGAAGUGGGGUCUCCUGGGCUGCAGGCUGGAAUCCUCAAGGAGCUGGAUUGUCCAUGCCUUGGGGAAGAUGAAGACUCGGGCCCGCCAGCAGCCCCAUCUUCUGAAAGGGAAGAAGAAAUGGCUUUUGUGGGCCCUCAGCGGCUUCCUCUUCCUGUUCUCAGUGACCAUGACUGGCUGCUUCCUGUGGCAGUACUACCUCCCCAAGUUGCAGAACGGU
rnacentral:lncRNA from 1 species